CAGAGUACACAGACAUCAGUGUCCUCCGCCCACACAGGAGAUUCAAACAAAGCUCGGUGGAGACACAACAGUAGAGACAGAAGGUCUUAAGGUCCAGGUUCCAAACUCUAGUCUUCUCCCCACCAUCAAGAAAAUGCUGCCUUUCCUGUGAUCAAUGAUCCAUUUAGAGUCCUGUCAUGAAAACUUAGCCAAUUACAGCAAAACAAGAAUUUUACUUCAAUCAUCAAGUAUUACAGAGGGCAUACAGAGACAGCUGUAGAACUUAACACAGAGACUUCCACAAGGAUCCCCGCUGGUGCCAUCUACCCGUUCAAGACCUGAUGAUUCUCUUGCCAGCCCGGUCCUUUCUAAGUGGGCAGCCAGUCAUACCAAAGGGGAGGUUUGUGUGGAGGAAUUCAGGAAGAGCUGCCUGGAUGAUUCUGAUCUCUAACAAAGUUGAAGUUGCAAGGUGACCAGAGAGGGGACAGCAGGGACCUGAGGCAGCCAGAGUCUGGUCCAACAUCUUUUUCUCUUUACAUAGUUUUCAGGCCUCUCUGCAUGGGCAACUUUGAUCUUUGAAACACCAUGGCAGUCCCAGAGCAGUCAGACUGUUUAUCAGGCAUCUGAAGGCUUCAAGAGGAAGUGUCUAAUGAGCAAGAUAGAAGCUGAAUCCCCUUUAAUAACCUAGUUUCCGGAGUCACGUGGCUUCACUUUUACUAUCUUCUAUUGGUUACAAACAAUUUGAAAGGUUGUCCAGAUCAAGGGAUGAGGAAAUCACUUCCCUUCUUGACUGGGAGGUAGCAAGUUUCUAGAAGAGCAUCUGGUCUGGGAGAUAUUGUUGCAGCUGUAUUUGGAAAAUUCAAUCUUCCACAAGAUGAAAGAAACGUUAACAUGACAAGAAGCUGGUGUUACCAAUUUAUUCAUUGUG